UACGUAGGGGGCUAGCGUUGUCCGGAAUCAUUGGGCGUAAAGCGCGUGUAGGCGGCCCGGUAAGUCCGCUGUGAAAACUCGAGGCUCAACCUCGAGACGUCGAUGGAAACCAUCUGGCUAGAGUCCGGAAGAGGAGAGUGGAAUUCCUGGUGUAGCGGUGAAAUGCGCAGAUAUCAGGAAGAACACCCGUGGCGAAGGCGGCUCUCUGGUACGUGACUGACGCUGAGACGCGAAAGCGUGGGGAGCAAACAGG
rnacentral:rRNA from 1 species